rnacentral:misc_RNA from 1 species
AAUAUGCAAUCGAGCUCAGCCGACGUCCUCCAACCCGCGAGACUGCACCCUCACCCAUCACCUCCCUUCGCAACAUCGCAUCCAGAUUGAGGCCGCCGCGCUACCGCUACCUCCUCCCAGCCGAGCCACCACCAUCACUCCUGGUCAUCCUCCUCCCCGCCACCGUGCCCUCUCCACUGGCCGUCGCGUACGCCACCUCCAGCGAACACGCCUCCACGCAUCCUCCACGGGCAGCUCGCUGUCGCGACACAUCUUCUCUCUCUCUCUACGUGCGCCCUCGCCAGCCCGAGUCCUCUCUCUUCGCUCGCGCCGCCACCGGCACCGUGCCUGCGCUGCCUUGCAUCUCCCGACCACCAGUUGUCCUUCCCUUCAUCCUCCUCUCACCCAAACAGUCGUAUGGGCCCUUCGCCGCCGACCACGUGCUCGGGUGCAGCUACCUCCAAAUUUCCCAGACCGAGGCGGCACGACAGGCGUCCAGCGGCACCAUUCGGCUUUUGAAGAUGGAGCGGGUGCUGCUCGAGGAGGAUGAAGAGGACCGGUUGUUGAGGAAGUUGGGAAACACUAUAGACUAAACCUAAAGCUAGCAAGGGGCCUGGACAUCAGACUUGAACUUCUAAAGUUUUACAAGAAUUAUUCAGCAAACCUUAUACACUGUUUAUGGAAAGGAGAGCCUCGAUUGCAUUCAGGGCUUGGUCGAGCGUAUAUGUUUAGUGACAUAAAAAACAUUGAUCAGAGAUGCUUCAAAUAUGAUAUAAAUAGUGAGGAUGAAUUGUGCAUCUUGUUUGUUACUCUUCAUUGGGGUGACACAUUUGAUGAUCCAAUGCACAUGGCUAGCAGACCCUUUUGUAAAAAAUGGUCGUCUUGGUCCUUUCAAAUUACAAACAUAAAUAUAGAGGAAAACAUUGUCCCCUUUGUUUGGGAGCAAGUGGAAUAGAUUUUAUCAUAUUGCUAUAGGCAAGAGGGAUGAAUGAGUCGAAUUGGGGUAAAUAAAGGCAAUGCAAGCCAGGAACGCCCAAGGCGUCCGCAUCUCCAAGAUGGUCUUAGCUCUAUUUUGGACCAAUCAGUCUGAAAACAGAAGGGUUAUAUCUACAAGCAAUUGAUCUUCUCAGCUUUGAACAUUAUUAAUGUUUAUACUAUUGAAUGAUUGGCAUACUGAUAAAAUUUGAUGUUAAACUUGAAGGUCGAUGAUGAGGUAUAUGAUGCUUUGGCCGAACACCUUCUUUCUAUCUUGGAGGAUAUUGAAAAUUUGAUUCAAAGUAAGCCUUUCCUGUUGGUGCUGUUUCGGGACAUUGUUCGUUGCAUGGUCAUGUUCUUAUAUUGUAGACUUGCAGUUAUCAAAGCUGGGUUGGUUUUGAAUGUCCUGCACUAGGACAUGUUAAUUCUUGAACAUCGCCAAUCAAGUUUGUGGUCUGGUUGCUUUCACUCUUGAUUUUAAUUUUAAAAAACAUAGUUGGCUUGUAUUGUCCAACCUUUUUUUUGGUCAAGCGUACUAAACUACUAAUUUGCUUCCAAGAGAAUCUGUAGCGAUUGUUCAGUUAUCUAGCUUGGGAAUGGAUAAAUAUAUUUAAGAAAGUCUAUAUAGCCACCAGAUGUCUAUAAACUAUAGAGAUGAGACUGUUUAGGAUAUAGUUUUGAAGAAAACAUCUUAUCAUUCAUUUUUUCA